AACACAAGGAGGAGAGCAAAAAGACUGCUUCACCUGAGUUCAAGUAAUGUAUCGCCUCACAGAAGAACUGCAACUACUUCAAGAAAGCAGAAUGGAGGAAAAAGGGCAACAUGUUUUGGCCAUUACCACAGACUGAAUACCUAAGCUAAAUGCAGCUAGGCCAGGCCCAAGGGAUGCUGCAGAACUACACCAGUCCAAGAUAUGACACCAACACAGAACACAGAUGGUGAUGAUUAAAAUAAAAUCAAUAAGGUAUAACCACAGCAUUCAGAGUACAUCAAAGCGGAGUGCUGAUACACAGAGUGAUAUUCAUCUCCAGCAUUUCUGAAAGAAUACAAUGACAUAGCUGCUUUGUCACCUUAGCAGAGCCAUGGAAAUGUAGAUGGAAGCAUCUUGGGCUAAUAAAGGAAACACAGGUGAAUGGGGAACAGAAAUGACUCUUGGUGACAAAGACCCUAGUGCUGAGAAAUUUGAGUGUGGGGAAGGUAAGGUCUGGAAAACUGGAUAAAUUUCAUGAUUGAAAAAUGUAUUUCACGUACGUACAUAGUGUCCUUGGUGUCUUGGUAGAGAGAUAGCUCUCCUUGAAACCAAAUGUUGGCUUUGGCAGUUUUCACUUUAAAGUGGCAGAAAUAAAACUGAAAGUUGAAUACA
rnacentral:lncRNA from 1 species